rnacentral:lncRNA from 1 species
CUGAUGUAUUAAAGGCAGAAGAGGAAAAACAAGCUCCAAUAUCUAAAUCUACUUAGUAACCACAUCCACACAUUUAUCAGAGGUGAAGGGCUGCUCUGAGCACGCUCUGGAUUCCCGGGGGGCUGCCAUACUCCCUUCCGUCCCGUUGACCUCUCUCUGUCUUGGCAGAGCCUUAUAAUAAUCACAGCCAUAAAUCUUUUAGUGGGUUCCAUUCUCUUCGUCCUCCUGCAAAAAGCCCUGCACACAUUUAUCAGGUCCUCAAAGAUACUCAGGGACCACGGAAUCGUCCUUGAUCCACCUCAUGGAGGGCCUCACGUAUUGCCUCAGCUAUUCAGGGCUUCCUUCAAACUACAUUAUAGGUGGCAUUACAGUGGGGGCAGGGCACCGGGAGAUUGUGGUUGAAAAGUGGGGGCCAUGUGGGGCUCAUAUUUUGACUGGAAUGACCCAGGAACACCCAGCUUCUCACUGCUCCAUCUCAGUGCCUUAUGGAAGAGGAGGACACUCUUUUCCUCUCUCUAGGUCUGAGGGUGCAUCAGCUAAGGGGGAAAAUGGAGUCACAGAGAAAUGCCAGAAUGGUAUUUCAUAAUCUGUUGAAAAUUAAACAAAUCUCUCACUCUUUUGACUGCUCUCACACUUUGAUAUCCAUGAGUAAGAGUUCCUUCAAAGGCAUGGAAUAUAUUACCGAAUGUCAAUAACAAAUUGUGUAUGAAGAAAAAUGUAAUGCUUUGAGAAUAUUUUCUUUUGGGCUUUGUCCAUGAUUAGAUUACACUAAAUUACAGCAUACAGAUAUCAGGCAAUUACUCUUUGCUUUUAACUAUUCAAUUUCAUGGCAAAUCCACAUAGCGCAGUAAUGCUAAAAUCACACCGAUGUGGUUACCAAGAAAAUACCUCAUCAUCUCCAUUUUGUGAAGCUAGGUUCAAGUUGCACUGUAAUGACCUGUAGUCCUGUUAAGUGUAAAGUACAUUCCAGAUGAACAUGGGGUAAUCCGUACCUCUCUGUAAUUGCCAGAUAUCUGGAGAGAUUCUUGCAGAUGUUGCUGGAUAAGCCUGGGUGAGAUGUGAAGAGGAAUGGCAUCUUUGCUCUCCUGGUUACUCUGGCUACCCUCCCUGUCUCUGAUCCUGGUUGGUCUCUGGUCCUACUCAUUCUAUUGCUUUAACCAGGAGCAUGUCUCCUUUUCUUCUGUUUUGUGAAAACAUAGUCAUUUUCUCUUCACUCAGCUCACAGAAUCCUCCCCAACCUCCUCCCAAUUUUAAUUUCUUCCAAAGCUGUGGAUAUCCCAUAAGCAAUCAAGUCGGCUGUCCUGGAAACUGGAGGAGCUUGUUGGUGAAAAAAGAAUUAUUUGAGCCAAUUGUGAGAAAUCGAACAGUGGCAGGAGGAGGAAAACGAGAGAAGAAAGGAGCCGACACAUCUAAACAAGCAGCCAGGGCACUGUGCAUACAGAUGUAAGGUCUUCUGGGGUCAGCUGGACUCAUAAGGCAGGAGGGACCUCAUCUUUCAGAGAAGGAAUGCCUAGAUUAUCAACAGAACUGUGCCCCAAGACCCAGAGAGACCUCCCUGCCCCAGUGCCUAUUAGAAUGACAAAAGGGGUGGACCCAAGCCCAGAUGACCAGGGCUCUGCCUGGAAGUGCCAGGCCAGGACCCUGGGUCUGUAGAGCCUCUGCCAUUGCAAAGGAUGAGCCAGAUGGAAAAAUUCAGCAUGGAGCUGUAUCCCUGAGCCAAGAGGGCACCCCCUUCCCCGUUGGGGGAGCGAUGGCUUGGGAACAAGCCCCCCGCCCCGUGCUCCAGUGCAUCUAGCUGCCUUUGGCCACCAUCCUGAAACAGCAGGGAGCAGGCUUCCUCUUUCCUCACACCCUGGAACCCAGUGAUUGCUGACCAGGAAGCAGAACAACAGAGCUCAGACAGCGAAAGCCUCCCCAUCCCAGCUGUAUGCAAAUUCCCAGCAGGCUGAAAGGACCACCCGCCCACCCAAGACCACCUCCCAGGAAGCCGAGGCCUUGUGUGCAGCCCCAGAGGAGCUUGAGCUGAACGGAGAAUGGGUUGAGGUGGGUGGGACCCAUCACUGUUCUUCCCUUCUCAUUCCUGCGCGUUCCCUGAAGAGUCUCUGGGGCCUGCUUUUCCCCCCAGCAGAGACGGAUGUGUCACAUUUAUGGCAUCCCAUUUCCUUCACAGAGAGGCUAUAGAUCCUGUUUCAUUCUGGUGUAUUUAAUUCACUCCAUAGGAAUCAAUAAAAACUUUAAA